UACGUAGGGGGCAAGCGUUGUCCGGAUUUAUUGGGCGUAAAGAGCGUGUAGGCGGCCAGACAGGUCCGUUGUGAAAACUCGAGGCUCAACCUCGAGACGCCGAUGGAAACCAUCUGACUAGAGUCCGGAAGAGGAGAGUGGAAAUUCCUGGUGUAGCGGUGAAAUGCGCAGAUAUCAGGAAGAACACCCCGUGGCUAAGGCGGCUCUCUAGUACGGUACUGACGCUGAGACGCGAAAGCGUGGGGAGCGAACAGG
rnacentral:rRNA from 1 species